CUACGUGCCAGCAGCCGCGGUAAUACGUAGGUGGCAAGCGUUGUCCGGAAUUAUUGGGCGUAAAGCGCGCGCAGGCGGAUUGGUCAGUCUGUCUUAAAAGUUCGGGGCUUAACCCCGUGAUGGGAUGGAAACUGCCAAUCUAGAGUAUCGGAGAGGAAAGUGGAAUUCCUAGUGUAGCGGUGAAAUGCGUAGAUAUUAGGAAGAACACCAGUGGCGAAGGCGACUUUCUGGACGAAAACUGACGCUGAGGCGCGAAAGCCAGGGGAGCGAACGGGAUUAGAUACCCUGGUAGUCCACGCCGUAAACGAUGAGUGCUAGGUGUUGGAUCCUUUCCGGGAUUCAGUGCCGCAGCUAACGCAUUAAGCACUCCGCCUGGGGAGUACGACCGCAAGGUUGAAACUCAAAGGAAUUGACGGGGGCCCGCACAAGCGGUGGAGCAUGUGGUUUAAUUCGACGCAACGCGAAGAACCUUACCAGGUCU
rnacentral:rRNA from 1 species